GUCGCGGUAGCUCAGUGGUAGAGCAGCGGACUGCAGAACGCUCUGAAUUCCGAAGGUCUCCAGUUCAAUUCUGGAUCGCGACU